rnacentral:rRNA from 1 species
UACAGAGGUCUCAAGCGUUGUUCGGAUCCAUUGGGCGUAAAGGGUGCGUAGGUGGCGCCAUAAGUCAGGUGUGAAAUCUCGGGGCUCAACCUCGAAACUGCACUUGAUACUGUGGUGCUUGAGUACUGGAGAGGAGAUUGGAAUUUACGGCGUAGCAGUGAAAUGCGUAGAUAUCGUAAGGAAGACCAGUGGCGAAGGCGAAUCUCUGGACAGUUACUGACACUGAGGCACGAAGGCCAGGGGAGCAAACGGG